GGUGGCUCAGUGGUAGAGUGCUUGCCUAGCAUGCAUGAAGUCCUGGGUUCGAUUCCUCAGUACCA
rnacentral:tRNA from 1 species